rnacentral:rRNA from 1 species
UGAUGGGUAGCCGGUUGAGAGACCGACCGGCCAGAUUGGGACUGAGACACGGCCCAGACUCCUACGGGAGGCAGCAGUGGGGAAUCUUGCACAAUGGGCGAAAGCCUGAUGCAGCGACGCCGCGUGCGGGAUGAAGGCCUUCGGGUUGUAAACCGCUUUCAGCAGGGGACGAGGCCGCAAGGUGACGGUACCUGCAGAAGAAAGCCCCGGCUAACUACGUGCCAGCAGCCGCGGUAU